AUGCAUCCUAAUGCGGACUUUCCAAGCCACUAGAAAAUAGAUUGAAUCAUUGAAUUAUGACUUCUUUUUAGAAAUUGCAGAAGAUCCCUCGCUAGGCUGUUUCAUCUAUCUACCUACUACCUUCCACUGGAGAGGAUACUGGCCUUGGCAGAUCUUUUUUCUGAGACAACCUGUCACUCCACUUUAGAAUUCCACUGAACCAGGACUGCACUUUGGAGAAAUACAGAUAGAAGUAUUACAUGUGAGCCUGUCUUUUCUGGACUGGCUUCAGAAAAACUUGGCAGAGAAGCCAAAUGACAAAGCAAAUGGAAUUAUGCUUCAGACAAG
rnacentral:lncRNA from 1 species